CCAGACUCCUACGGGAGGCAGCAGUGGGGAAUAUUGCACAAUGGGGGAAACCCUGAUGCAGCGACGCCGCGUGAGUGAAGAAGUAUCUCGGUACGUAAAGCUCUAUCAGCAGGGAAGAAAAUGACGGUACCUGACUAAGAAGCCCCGGCUAACUACGUGCCAGCAGCCGCGGUAAUACGUAGGGGGCAAGCGUUAUCCGGAUUUACUGGGUGUAAAGGGAGCGUAGACGGCAGCGCAAGUCUGGAGUGAAAGCCCGGGGCCCAACCCCGGAACUGCUCUGGAAACUGUGCGGCUAGAGUACCGGAGGGGCAGGCGGAAUUCCUAGUGUAGCGGUGAAAUGCGUAGAUAUUAGGAGGAACACCAGUGGCGAAGGCGGCCUGCUGGACAGUAACUGACGUUGAGGCUCGAAAGCGUGGGGAGCAAACAGGAUUAGAUACCCCGGUAC
rnacentral:rRNA from 1 species